rnacentral:rRNA from 1 species
CGCAUCUGUGCAUGCAGCAUAUCAAUAAGCGGAGGAAAAGAAACUAACAAGGAUUCCCUAGUAACGGCGAGUGAAGCGGGAAGAGCUCAAAUUUGAAAUCUUCAAGGUUUUACCUUGACGAAUUGUAGUUUAAAGAAGUGUUUUCUGUUGAAGUUUUGGUAAAAGUUCUUUGGAAUAGGACAUCAUAGAAGGUGAGAAUCCCGUAUUUGACCAUUAUUUUCAGCUGUGUGAUACACUUUCAAAGAGUCGGAUUGUUUGGGAAUGCAGUCCAAAAUGGGUGGUAAAUUUCAUCUAAAGCUAAAUAUUGGCGAGAGACCGAUAGCGAACAAGUACCGUGAGGGAAAGAUGAAAAGAACUUUGAGAAGAGAGUUAAACAGUACGUGAAAUUGUCAAAAGGGAAGCGUUUGACACCAGUGUUGUUUUCUCGAAAAUCAAUUAAAAAGAGUUAGAUUUUGUUGUGUAUUGACCUUAACAGCUUGCAUUUCAAUUUUCUUGCUUUUUUUAAUGCACUUUUCGUUUAACAAGUCAACAUCAGUUUCUUUUGUUGUAAAAAGGUCAUUGGAAGGUGGCUUUCUUUUCGGAGAAAGUGUUUAUAGCCCUUGACUCCUGCAAUCGGAGAGACUGAGGUCUGCAGCGUAGAUCCUUCGGGGUUAGAUACAUUUGUGCUAAGUUAUAGCUUUUUAUAGACAACUUGUUGACUAUGAUUAGUCUUGUAGCUUACUCGCUUAUGCUAUUUUACCUACGCUUAGGAUGUUGACACACGCGCGUGCUCG